rnacentral:misc_RNA from 1 species
CAAUAAGUGUUUAAUGGCACUUGAAAUCCAUUACCCACCUUGUGUGCAAUGUCGGGGGGAGAGUGAACCCUUUUCAUGGGGGGAAUCUCUUCCUUUUCAUACAUACUCGUUCUUUCAGUAUCAGUCUACAACCUAUUUGGAGUAAUAAAAAACUCGAAAUA